UAUACAUGCAAGUCGAGCGAAUGGAUUGAGAGCUUGCUCUCAAGAAGUUAGCGGCGGACGGGUGAGUAACACGUGGGUAACCUGCCCAUAAGACUGGGAUAACUCCGGGAAACCGGGGCUAAUACCGGAUAACAUUUUGAACUGCAUGGUUCGAAAUUGAAAGGCGGCUUCGGCUGUCACUUAUGGAUGGACCCGCGUCGCAUUAGCUAGUUGGUGAGGUAACGGCUCACCAAGGCAACGAUGCGUAGCCGACCUGAGAGGGUGAUCGGCCACACUGGGACUGAGACACGGCCCAGACUCCUACGGGAGGCAGCAGUAGGGAAUCUUCCGCAAUGGACGAAAGUCUGACGGAGCAACGCCGCGUGAGUGAUGAAGGCUUUCGGGUCGUAAAACUCUGUUGUUAGGGAAGAACAAGUGCUAGUUGAAUAAGCUGGCACCUUGACGGUACCUAACCAGAAAGCCACGGCUAACUACGUGCCAGCAGCCGCGGUAAUACGUAGGUGGCAAGCGUUAUCCGGAAUUAUUGGGCGUAAAGCGCGCGCAGGUGGUUUCUUAAGUCUGAUGUGAAAGCCCACGGCUCAACCGUGGAGGGUCAUUGGAAACUGGGAGACUUGAGUGCAGAAGAGGAAAGUGGAAUUCCAUGUGUAGCGGUGAAAUGCGUAGAGAUAUGGAGGAACACCAGUGGCGACGCGACUUUCUGGUCUGUAACUGACACUGAGGCGCGAAAGCGUGGGGA
rnacentral:rRNA from 1 species